rnacentral:lncRNA from 1 species
GGAGAAAGUUAUGCAUUUGAGUUGCUGGGGUCCCAGUACUGUUAGAUUUUGAUGUAAACGCAGCUUAAUUUUUGAGUAUCAAUCACGUUAUUUUUAUUACAUUCCUCUUUCUACGUUUGAAAGUAAUUAUAUUUGAAUAGAAAAUCAGUGACCCAAAUAUAAAUACAUCGUUUUACCCCGUCUUCAACCCAAAAUGCAGAAACCCACAAACAAUAUAACAAGAUCAUAAAAGAAAUACACAAAAACUAAGAAAAAAAUCAGUACUUUAGAUAAAAAAAAAAAAAUAUUGGGAUAUCUUCAAACUCUACCAAGUUCUGGAGCUCUUCUUUCUGGUAGUGCUGAGGAAGGUCAACUUGGCAUCCAUGGUUAAUGCUCUGGUGUGUUUGUAACCAUUCUCUGUAAAUCAAGACAACCAUGUCUUGAGUUCUUCUUUCAUGUCUGGAUCAUGUUUUCCCGAGUCUGCAAUUUUAUUGAAGUAUAAAUUACUCAAGUUGAAGAUCAAAGUAGCUCAGCUUAUGGGCUAACCUGGGGCUUGUAUUUAAGGAUACUAGAAGACCACA